rnacentral:rRNA from 1 species
UACGUAGGGUGCAAGCGUUAAUCGGAAUUACUGGGCGUAAAGCGCUCGCAGGUGGUUCGUUGCGUCGUGCGUGAAAUCCCUCGGCUCAACCAAGGAAGUGCUUUCGAAACUGCUGAGCUUGAGUACUUAAGAGGAUCGCGGAAUUCCCGGUGUAGAGGUGAAAUUCGUAGAUAUCGGGAGGAACACCAGUGGCGAAGGCGGCGAUCUGGGAAGAUACUGACGCUGAGGUGCGAAAGCGUGGGGAGCAAACAGG